rnacentral:rRNA from 1 species
AAUAGAUACCCGGGUAGUCCACGCCGUAAACGAUGAGUGCUAAGUGUUAGGGGGUUUCCGCCCCUUAGUGCUGCAGCUAACGCAUUAAGCACUCCGCCUGGGGAGUACGGUCGCAAGACUGAAACUCAAAGGAAUUGACGGGGGCCCGCACAAGCGGUGGAGCAUGUGGUUUAAUUCGAAGCAACGCGAAGAACCUUACCAGGUCUUGACAUCCCAUUGACCACUAUGGAGACAUAGUUUUCCCUUCGGGGACAACGGUGACAGGUGGUGCAUGGUUGUCGUCAGCUCGUGUCGUGAGAUGUUGGGUUAAGUCCCGCAACGAGCGCAACCCUUGUUCUUAGUUGCCAUCAUUUAGUUGGGCACUCUAAGGAGACUGCCGGUAACAAACCGGAGGAAGGUGGGGAUGACGUCAAAUCAUCAUGCCCCUUAUGACCUGGGCUACACACGUGCUACAAUGGACGGUACAAACGGUUGCCAACCCGCGAGGGGGAGCUAAUCCGAUAAAACCGUUCUCAGUUCGGAUUGUAGGCUGCAACUCGCCUACAUGAAGCCGGAA